CGGGUCGGGCUCGGAUGUGCGCAUUUCCGGACCUUAAGUUGUAUCUAUUGCGCCGGGGGACUGGGCACUCCCAUACCUCGCUGAGCUCGCCUGGUCRGAGCCCACCGUCCCCUGAAGGUGCGUGCACGGACCACUUGGACUCCGUGUCUUGGCCAAGGCUUAGGGCCAGACUUCAGGCUCCCUCCUUCCUGCACCGGCCCGUUUCUUCUCCUCCAGAGAGGUUCAGAGGCCGAAGCUGAGCCUCCCACAGAAGGUGCCUCCUUGCCUAGGACUUCAGGGAAGGAUCAUGUCCCAGGUGAGUGUGGCAUUUCUUGGGACUGGGCUUCAUUUCACC